AAAAAAAUUAUUUACAUUAUUUACAUUUGACGGAUAUUUGUCCUCAUCUUCUUUGUUGUUAACACAAUGUUUCGGCUGAUAUACCCUCCAGCCUUCAUCAGGUGUCAUGGGGAAAUUUCGAACCUGGGUUCUCAUUCCUAAAGUAUUUUUUGAUGUUGUUGAUUAUUAUUAUUCCCAUGGGCAUAUGGCAUAGUGGUUAAGAGCGCAGGCUACUAACCCCAAGAUUCCGAGUUCGAUUCCAGGCAGUGACCUAAAUAAUAAUAAUAUCAAAAAAUACCUUAGGAAUGAGAAAUUUCCCCAAGAUACCUGAUGAAGGCUGGAGGGUAUAUCAAUCAAAACGCUGUGUUAACAACAAACACGAUGAGGACAAAUAUCUGUCAAAUGUAAAUAAUGUAAAUAAUUCCUCAUCUCUUAAAUAUAGAACUGAUUUUUUUAAAAACAAUCCUUAAAUAAUAUCUAAUUAUGAAACUAUAAUUAGCUAAAUGACUAUUUUGUGUGGCCCAACUGAACUUGUGCUUUAAUUGUUCUGUAAUUAAUGAUCCUAAGCGAACUUUUUGUUCUUAAUUAAAUUGCUUUUUUUUUUUCUUCUUCUUUACAGGGUUCAGAAUUUGUCAAUUUCCAUACAAGAAUGUACUGAAGAUGUAAAAACAUUUGGUGUUUUGUCAUGAAGGAAUGAAAAUAAAAACCCAUAAAACUCUC